rnacentral:rRNA from 1 species
UACAGAGGGUGCAAGCGUUAAUCGGAAUUACUGGGCGUAAAGCGAGCGUAGUCGGUUAUUUAAGUCGGAUGUGAAAUCCCCGGGCUCAACCUGGGAAUUGCAUUCGAUACUGGAUAGCUAGAGUUCGGCAGAGGGAAGCGGAAUUUCUGGUGUAGCGGUGAAAUGCGUAGAUAUCAGAAGGAACAUCAGUGGCGAAAGCGGCUUCCUGGACCAGAACUGACGAUCAGGCUCGAAAGCGUGGGGAGCAAACAGG